AUUAAACUGAAGAGUUUGAUCCUGGCUCAGAUUGAACGCUGGCGGCAUGCCUUACACAUGCAAGUCGAACGGCAGCACGGGAGCAAUCCUGGUGGCGAGUGGCGAACGGGUGAGUAAUACAUCGGAACGUGCCCUGUCGUGGGGGAUAACUAGUCGAAAGAUUAGCUAAUACCGCAUACG
rnacentral:rRNA from 1 species